CAGCAGCCACGGUAAUACGUAGGGUGCGAGCGUUAUUCGGAAUUACUGGGCGUAAAGCGUGCGCAGGCGGUUGUGUAAGACAGACGUGAAAUCCCCGGGCUCAACCUGGGAACUGCGUUUGUGACUGCACGGCUAGAGUACGGCAGAGGGGGGUGGAAUUCCACGUGUAGCAGUGAAAUGCGUAGAGAUUUGGAGGAACACCGAUGGCGAAGGCAGCCCCCUGGGCCAGUACUGACGCUCAUGCACGAAAGCGUUGGGAGCAAACAGGAUUAGAUACCCCUGUAGUCCCUGUCUCUUAUAC
rnacentral:rRNA from 1 species